rnacentral:rRNA from 1 species
GGAGUUAGCCGGUGCUUCUUCUGUGAGUGAUGUCCUUCCUGCCGGCUAUUAACCCGCAGGCCUUCUUCCUCACUGAAAGUGCUUUACAACCCGAAGGCCUUCUUCACACACGCGGCAUGGCUGGAUCAGGGUUGCCCCCAUUGUCCAAUAUUCCCCACUGCUGCCUCCCGUAGGAGUCUGGGCCGUGUCUCAGUCCCAGUGUGGCUGAUCAUCCUCUCAGACCAGCUACGGAUCGUCGCCUUGGUGAGCCGUUACCUCACCAACCAGCUAAUCCGACAUAGGCUCAUCCGAUAGCGCGAGGCCCGAAGGUCCCCCGCUUUCCCCCGUAGGGCGUAUGCGGUAUUAGCCUGGGUUUUACCCCACGGUUAUCCCCCACUACCGGGCAGAUUCCUAUGCAUUACUCACCCGUCCGCCGCUCGCCACCAGGGAGCAAGCUCCCCGUGCUGCCGCUCGACUUGCAUGUGUUAGGCCUGCCGCCAGCGUUCAAUCUGAGCCAGGAUCAAACUCUGA